rnacentral:rRNA from 1 species
CCUACGUGCGGCAGCAGUAGGGAAUCUUCCACAAUGGGCGAAAGCCUGAUGGAGCAACGCCGCGUGGGUGAAGAAGGUCUUCGGAUCGUAAAACCCUGUUGUUAGAGAAGAAAGUGCGUGAGAGUAACUGUUCACGUUUCGACGGUAUCUAACCAGAAAGCCACGGCUAACUACGUGCCAGCAGCCGCGGUAAUACGUAGGUGGCAAGCGUUAUCCGGAUUUAUUGGGCGUAAAGGGAACGCAGGCGGUCUUUUAAGUCUGAUGUGAAAGCCUUCGGCUUAACCGGAGUAGUGCAUUGGAAACUGGGGGACUUGAGGGCAGAAGAGGAGAGUGGAACUCCAUGUGUAGCGGUGAAAUGCGUAGAUAUAUGGAAGAACACCAGUGGCGAAAGCGGCUCUCUGGUCUGUAACUGACGCUGAGGUUCGAAAGCGUGGGUAGCAAACAGGAUUAGAUACCCCUGUAGUC